GACGAACGCUGGCGGCGUGCCUAAUACAUGCAAGUCGAGCGAAGUUUUUCUGGUGCUUGCACCGGAAAAACUUAGCGGCGAACGGGUGAGUAACACGUAAAGAACCUGCCUCAUAGACUGGGACAACUAUUGGAAACGAUAGCUAAUACCGGAUAACAGCAUUAACUGCAUGGUUGAUGUUUAAAAGUUGGUUUUGCUAACACUAUGAGAUGGCUUUGCGGUGCAUUAGCUAGUUGGUGGGGUAAAGGCCUACCAAGGCGACGAUGCAUAGCCGACCUGAGAGGGUGAUCGGCCACACUGGGACUGAGACACGGCCCAGACUCCUACGGGAGGCAGCAGUAGGGAAUCUUCCGCAAUGGGCGAAAGCCUGACGGAGCAACGCCGCGUGAGUGAAGAAGGAUUUCGGUUCGUAAAGCUCUGUUGUUAGGGAAGAAUGAUUGUGUAGUAACUAUACACAGUAGAGACGGUACCCAACCAGAAAGCCACGGCUAACUACGUG
rnacentral:rRNA from 1 species